UACGUAGGGGGCGAGCGUUGUCCGGAUUUAUUGGGCGUAAAGAGCGUGUAGGCGGCCAGGUAGGUCCGUUGUGAAAACUCGAGGCUCAACCUCGAGACGUCGGCGGAAACCCUCUGGCUAGAGUCCGGAAGAGGAGAGUGGAAUUCCUGGGUGUAGCGGUGAAAUGCGCAGAUAUCAGGAAGAACACCCGUGGCGAAGGCGGCCCCCUGGGCCGAACCUGACGCUGAGACGCGAAAGCGUGGGGAGCGAACAGG
rnacentral:rRNA from 1 species